GAAUUGACGGGGGCCCGCACAAGCGGUGGAGCAUGUGGUUUAAUUCGAAGCAACGCGCAGAACCUUACCAGCUCUUGACAUACCGAUCGCGGAAAGUGGAGACAUUUUCCUUCAGUUAGGCUGGAUCGGAUACAGGUGCUGCAUGGCUGUCGUCAGCUCGUGUUGUGAAAUGUUGGGUUAAGUCCCGUAACGAGCGCAACCCUUGUCCUUAGUUACUAACAUUAAGUUGAGAACUCUAAGGAGACUGCCGGUGACAAACCGGAGGAAGGCG
rnacentral:rRNA from 14 species